AUCGAAUGGCUACUGUGCCGUUCGGUGAAUGGCUCGGCUCGAGCGCCGACGAAGGACGUGCCAAGCUGCGAUAAGCCUGAGGGAGCCGCACGGAGGCGAAGAACUCAGGAUCUCCUAAUAGGAACUCCUCACCGCAAUUGCUUCGCGCAAUGGGGAACGCCGGGAACUGAAACAUCUUAGUACCGGCAGGAAGAGAAAGCGAAUGCGAUAUCGUCAGUAACCGCGAGUGAACGCGAUACAGUCCAAACCGAAUCCUUCGGGAUAUGUGGUGUUUUGGGCUGACUCUCAUCGUCUGACCGUCUGUUCGAAGUCUCCUGGAACGGAGCGUGAUACAGGGUGACAACCCCGUAGAACAGACCGGUAAGACGUGCGUCAGUUCCUGAGUAGCGGGGGUUGGAAAUCCCUCGUGAAUUUGGCAGGCAUCGUCUGCCAAGACUAAAUACGACUCGAGACCGAUAGCGAACAAGUAGCGUGAGCGAACGCUGAAAAGCACCCUCAGAAGGGAGGUGCAAUAGGGCCUGAAAUCGAGCGGCGAUGGAGCGACGGGGCAUACAAGGUCCCGUGACGAAUGAGCCGGGUGCGAACCCGCAGUAAGACUCACGGGAAGCCGGUGUUCCGUCGUACGUUUUGAAAAACGAGCCAGGGAGUGUAUCUACGAGGCGAGCUUAACCGGAGUAUCCGGGGAAGCGCAGGGAAACCAACAUGGCCGCAGAGUCGUGGACUUCGUCCACGCGCCCCAGGGCCGCCGUCUUCAAGGGCGGGGAGUCCCGUGGAUACGACCCGAAUCCGGACGAUUUACUCCUGGACAGGGUGAAGCGUAUCGAAAGAUACGUGGAGGCCCGCUAGCGUUGGUGUCCUACAAUACCCUCGCGUGAUCUAGGAGUAGGGGUGAAAGGCCCAUCGAGUUCGGCAACAGCUGGUUCCAACCGAAACAUGUCGAAGCAUGAUCUCCACCGAGAUAGUCCGUGAGGUAGAGCGACCGAUUGCCGUGUCCGCCCUCGAGAGAGGUCGGCU
rnacentral:rRNA from 1 species